ACGAGAAUAUUCCGCAAUGGACGAAAGUCUGACGGAGCGACGCCGCGUGAUCGAUGAAGUGCUUCGGUACGUAAAGAUCUUUUAUCGGGGACGAAGUUUAUUGACGGUACCCGAUGAAUAAGGAGCUCCUAACUCUGUGCCAGCAGGAGCGGUAAUACAGAGGCCCCAAGCGUUAUCCGGAAUCACUGGGCGUAAAGGGUGUCGAGGCGGUUGUAUUAGUCGUUCGUAAAAUCUACGAGCUUAACUUGUAGGCGGCGAACGAAACGGUACGACUUGAGGUUUGGAGAGGUGCGUGGAACUCACGGUGUAGGGGUGAAAUCCGUUGAUAUCGUGGGGAACACCAAAGGCGAAGGCAGCGCACUGGCCAAAAUCUGACGCUCACACACGAAAGCUAGGGUAGCGAAGAGGAUUAGAUACCCCGGUAGUCCCUGAGCGGGCUGGCAAGGCGCAU
rnacentral:rRNA from 1 species